CCAGCCGGUCUACAGAGCUAGCUCCAGGACAGUCAGGGCUACACAAGGAAACCUUGUCUCAAAAACAACUUUUUUUUUUCUUAACUUAAAGUAAACAGUACUUGGCUACCUAUUGCUGUGUUGGACCCACAGGGCUUUGCCUAAUAGUUUAAAUCAUUAGUAUGGUUCCCACAAUACUGGCUUUAAAUUUGAGUCCUAAAUUUAAACUGAUCUCUUCAAGCUAGGGCUAGGUGCUUGUUGAGAUUGUAAUAGUCCUCACUGUUUGACUUGGUUCAGCUAGCUGCCUGUCUGAUUAUCUAUUUCCUCUCUCACUGCCAAGGCUGUGUCAAGCAGGACCUGUGUUGAGGUCUUUUUUUUUUUUUUUUUUUUUUAUUGUUGUUGCUUAUUCUUUUGGAGACAAGGUCCCACUUUGUAGCCUUGGCUGGCUUUGAACUCCAGAUCCUCAUGUCCUGUCUCUCCCAAGGGCUGGAGUUAUAGAUGUUACACCCUUAGGCUUGGCUAGGUCCUGUAGCAUUUCUUGUGUCAGUUUCUUGGGGCCUCAAGAGGCAUGUGGCUGCCUUGAGGAGUACAGUCAGAACAGGUCAGGGGCCAGACUUAACUCUGGCCUCUGUCUGCUUGUUGGGAAUUAUGUUCCAGGCAAGUGUCCAUAUGCUACCUGCAUUGACUCCUGGGGUUGUGGUUCUGGACCAGGGAUUAGGGGUUACUGAGAAAUGGUUCAGGCUGGCCAUUGGUGUGGCCUGAGCAAGUCACUUCUAGUCACUGCUAGUCAUCACUGCUGAAGUCUGAGGCUGUUUCAUUUUCCUAAUAGAAGGCCAGGCAGUACUGAAGUGUACUCUGGUGUGGUCCUGGCCUUGAAUCCUAGAUCUAAUGGAAUGUGGUGUUUGUUUCUUCAUUAUAGCCUCAUAAUUUUUUUUUUUUUUUUUUUUUUUUUUUUUUUUUUUUGAGACAGCGUCUCACUUUAGUCCAGAAAGGCUUUGAACUUGAGGCAAGCGUAAUGUCUUACCCUCUUGAGUUCUGGCCUUAUAGAUGUGAGCUAUGCCCAACUUCAGAAACAUUUUGAGUCAGAAACUGUGAUGCUCUGUAGUAAGUGAUUAGUUUAUCUCCUUUCUCAGUAAAAUGAAUCAAGUCAGAGGUAGGUCCCAAACAGACCAUCUAUACACUGUGCUGCCUUUUGGGUGUGUGUGUGGGGGGCAGCUUGCAGAGUGGGGUGGGGUAACAUUGAAUGUUCCUGCUCACAAAUGCAUGUACAUACACAAUGAGGCAUGCCUGUGUUAAUAAUCCACACCACACAUGUAAUAGGAACUGAUAUGCAAGCUAUGGGAACUGUCUGGAAAAUAGCUCUCUGCCUCUUUCCUCGACUGCCGUGAGCAUAAGCCUCCACUCCAACUGCCUUAGCCACUCUUCCCUAGUUCUUUCUGUGCCCUUUGAAGCAACCUGUCCAUCUGCUGUGUAUCUCAGAGCCUGCAAAAGGCAAACACAACUCCCGCUAUGUUUUUGUGACAACAGUCUGAGGUCAAUUUUAAUGUUAAAAGGCCUGUAGUUGACUGUGGUGCCAAGGGUAGGGGCUUUAUCAUUGCUGCUCUGAUUCCUCACUGCUGUUAUUCCUGCACGCUGGGGCUGGGCUGUGGAGACCUGAGAAGUUGUUAUUUCAUCAUUCCAUUUAGAAAUGAGACCAAAGCCAGAAAGGGUCUCUACCUCUCACAGGUGAGAUAACAGGUGGCUUGUGGGCCCAGCCCAGAGCUCUACCUGACUUGUCUGAGAGUCUCAGACUGAAUUCCACAGAGGUGGUAGGGGUAGGUGGGCAGGCCCUGAGGGGUUGCUUAGGCACCUUUGACCCUGUUCCGUGCCCUAUUAGCACUCUGAACCCUAAACCCAGGGAGUCACUGGAGGUCCAUUCUCAUUUCACCCCUGCUUGUGCAUGGCAGUCUACCUGCCUUGGUCUGUGCUAACACCAUGGUUUGCUGGCAACUUGAAUCCUUCCUACAAACACAGGUCAGGUUGUGUGCUACCCAGAUCUUCUAUCCAUUCUGAGCCAUCCUAUGCUGGAUCCCUGUGCCCGAAGAGGAAUUCCACAUCGCCCCAACACACCUGCUGCAGCUCACUGCAACCUCCCUAGGUUCACACUGUGCUGUAGAAUGGACGCUUUCCCACAACCAGCUGGCCCAGGCUGCCAUUCCCACCCAUUCCCACCUGCCCUUGGAUGAGACUUGUCUACUGGUGGUCUCCAACAUGAAGGCUCUGUACCCAGAGAAAGGUUCCAGAAUUUUGCCAAGUUGGGGACCCAAGGUUCACAGAGAGCAGGGCCAUACUCAGGGCCAUGGGCAUAUUUGUUCAACAAGCAGUGACAUUACAGUAAGAAUGUAGAGUGGUUGUUGACAGGCUUCCAUCUGAGGUAGGCUGAACACUUGGGUCUUCUGACCUGGGGUUGGGUGGGGUUUCUCCUACUGCCCUCUAUUUCCCCCUUCUCACUGUUUUUUCACCAGUGUAGGCCUGGCCUUCAGCCCCUGGGGCAAGCCUGACCUGAAGUCCUUUUUUCAGGAGAGGCUCCAAAGAUCAUUAUUUCUACCUCAACCAGGAAAUCAAGUAGGUACAUGUUACAUCUUAGGAAAGGCCAUAAGGUGGACAGAGCCCCCUAACAUGGUACAUGUAUGAAACAUAUAACAAAAAUGCUUAAUAGCUAGUGUGGGGACAGUUACUAUGUAGUCACUCCCAGUGCCCCUCUGAAGGGGCACUGGCAUGGGGCCACUGGCAGAACUGCCUUUUCCCUCUGCAGAUAGGAGUGGCUUGGGGGGUGGCGGUGUCUAAAGGGGCUGGUUGCC
ensembl:lncRNA